AGAGACAGCAGUAGCCGCGGUAAUACGUAGGUGGCAAGCGUUGUCCGGAAUUAUUGGGCGUAAAGGGCUCGCAGGCGGUUUCUUAAGUCUGAUGUGAAAGCCCCCGGCUCAACCGGGGAGGGUCAUUGGAAACUGGGAAACUUGAGUGCAGAAGAGGAGAGUGGAAUUCCACGUGUAGCGGUGGAAUGCGUAGAGAUGUGGAGGAACACCAGUGGCGAAGGCGACUCUCUGGUCUGUAACUGACGCUGAGGAGCGAAAGCGUGGGGAGCGAACAGGAUUAGAGACCCCCGUAGUCCCUGUCUCUUAUAC
rnacentral:rRNA from 1 species